rnacentral:rRNA from 1 species
UUUUUUUUAAGAGUUUGAUCCUGGCUCAGGAUGAAUGUUGGCGGCGUGCCUGAGAUAUGCAAGUCGAGCGCAUCUUGUCCCGCUUUGCGGGAUGAGGUCAGCGGCGGACGGCUGAGUAACACGUAGGAACCUUCCCUGAAAUAGAGGAUAGCCUAUCGAAAGAUGGGGUAAUACUUUAUAGUCCCCGCCUUUGGCGGGGUAAAAACCAUAACUGGUUGUUUCAAGAUGGUCCUGCGGCCUAUCAGGUAGUUGGUAGGGUAAUGGCCUACCAAGCCUAUGACGGGUAGCUGGCCUGAGAGGGUGUUCAGCCAGAGGGGUACUGAGACACGGACCCCAUUUCUACGGAAAGCAGCAAUCAGGAAUAGUCGGCAAUGGGCGAAAGCCUGACCGCGCGACGCCGCGUGCGGGAAGAAGCUCUUCGGAGU